rnacentral:lncRNA from 1 species
CCUGUCAUCCCACUGCAGGUGACAAAAUGCAACACAAACCCUCAGUUGGAGCCUAUGGCUGGUGAGGAGGUUUUGUCACCGAGCUGAUGACAGCUGAUCACUGAAACUUCUCUCAGUUUCUCAUGAUGACAAAUUCUGGUCUUCAGCUGCCUUCCCUGCAGAACUCCCAAUAUUUUAUCCUGAAGUGCUGCUUUUGCAGAAACUUUCUGGCCUGGUUUGUAUUUUCCUGUCAGGAUUCUUGCAUCUUCAAGGCAGAAAAUCACAUUGGAGACUCGCAGCACACAUGAGGAAACUCAGCUGAGAAUCUGGAUUGCGUUAGAUGAACGAGGAAACGACAUGAGACUUGUUUUUGUUGUGAUAAGAGGAAGAACAGAUCCGAUCAUAACAAAAACAGAUGUAAAGCCGUAACGCAGUCCCUCGUGUUAUCUCAUCCCCACU